CGGUGUAUUUACUCAGUCAAACCUAUGACCGAGCAGCUAAAGGAAAAUAAACACAAUUGUCUGUCCGACUGUUGCCACGUUCAUGUGCUAUUCGAAAAUACAAAACUAGGAAAUGUCCGACUUGUUAAUAGGUUGAACACGCGGCACGUAUAUAUGUACAACAGGUUAGCAAGUCGGACAUUUCUGAGUUUCGUAGUUUCCGACGAGUACUUGAACGCGGCACGUAUCCACACCCCUGUUACUUGUUCUACAUUUCUGCUCGGAGGAAGUGGCCCCUUUCCUCACCCUGUCGCUAUUUACCGCGGGGAUACAAAAUUACUAACAAACUAUUCUGUUGUGUGAAAAUGAGGCAAUUGUCGUCCUAGAAAAUUGAGAAAUCGUCUCUGCAGAAUAGCACGCACGUUGUAACAACAUAGUUGUAAGAAGAUACGCCAGAGUGGAUCGUUUUGAGCUGGAGUAGCCUCGUCUGCUUUGUUUACGUUGGGAUUGUUUUGAUGCGGGGUGUUUUCACGGUGACGUUUUUGCGUGGAAAACGACUGUAAAUCCUGCAACGAUGGCAAUGCAGGCCCAGGUGAUAUAUGACUUCAGUGCUGAACCAGGAAAUAACGAGUUGACAGUCAGAGAAGGAGAGACUGUCACCGUCCUCAAUCAGAAUGUUGGUGGAGGAUGGAUAGAGGCUCAGAACUCCAGAGGAG